rnacentral:tRNA from 1 species
GGUUGCGUAGCUCAGGGGUAGAGCACCUGCUUUACAACAAACACCAGAACGCAGAUGGUCGCAGGUUCGAACCCUGCCGUGAUCA